AACGAACGCUGGCGGCAGGCUUAACACAUGCAAGUCGAACGCCCCGCAAGGGGAGUGGCAGACGGGUGAGUAACGCGUGGGAACCUUCCUCGAUGUACGGAACAACUCAGGGAAACUUGAGCUAAUACCGUAUACGUCCGAGAGGAGAAAGAUUUAUCGCAUAGAGACGGGCCCGCGUCGGAUUAGCUAGUUGGUAAGGUAACGGCUUACCAAGGCAACGAUCCGUAGCUGAUCUGAGAGGAUGAUCAGCCACACUGGGACUGAGACACGGCCCAGACUCCUACGGGAGGCAGCAGUGGGGAAUCUUGGACAAUGGGCGCAAGCCUGAUCCAGCUAUGCCGCGUGAGUGAAGAAGGCCUUCGGGUUGUAAAGCUCUUUUGUCAGGGACGAUAAUGACGGUACCUGAAGAAUAAGCCCCGGCAAACUUCGUGCCAGCAGCCGCAGUAA
rnacentral:rRNA from 1 species